CCUACCGGGAAGCAGCAGUGAGGAAUAUUGGUCAAUGGGCGGGAGCCUGAACCAGCCAAGUCGCGUGAGGGAAGAAGGUACAGCGUAUCGUAAACCUCUUUUGUCAGGGAACAAAGGCGGGGACUAGUCCCCGGAUGAGGGUACCUGAAGAAAAAGCAUCGGCUAACUCCGUGCCAGCAGCCGCGGUAAUACGGAGGAUGCGAGCGUUAUCCGGAUUUAGUGGGUUUAAAGGGUGCGCAGGCGGCCUGUUAAGUCAGCGGUAAAAGCCCGGGGCUCAACCCCGGCGAGCCGUUGAAACUAGCGGGCUGGAGUUGGAGAGAAGUAAGCGGAAUGCGCGGUGUAGCGGUGAAAUGCUUAGAUAUAGCGCAGAACCCCGAUUGCGAAGGCAGCGUACCGGCUCCACACUGACGCUGAGGCACGAAAGCGUGGGUAUCGAACAGGAUUAGAUACCCCUGUAGUC
rnacentral:rRNA from 1 species